UUCCAGACUCCUACGGGAGGCAGCAGUGGGGGAUAUUGCACAAUGGGGGGAACCCUGAUGCAGCGACGCCGCGUGGGUGAAGAAGCGCCUCGGCGCGUAAAGCUCUAUCAGCAGGGAAGAAAAUGACGGUACCUGACUAAGAAGCCCCGGCUAACUACGUGCCAGCAGCCGCGGUAAUACGUAGGUGGCAAGCGUUAUCCGGAUUUACUGGGUGUAAAGGGCGUGUAGGCGGGGACGCAAGUCAGAUGUGAAAACCAUGGGCUCAACCUGUGGCCUGCAUUUGAAACUGUGUUUCUUGAGUACUGGAGAGGCAGACGGAAUUCCUAGUGUAGCGGUGAAAUGCGUAGAUAUUAGGAGGAACACCAGUGGCGAAGGCGGUCUGCUGGACAGCAACUGACGCUGAGGCGCGAAAGCGUGGGGAGCAAACAGGAUUAGAUACCCGCGUAU
rnacentral:rRNA from 1 species